rnacentral:rRNA from 1 species
GAUGAACGCUGGCGGCGUGCCUAAUGCAUGCAAGUCGAGCGGGGCUACAGUCUUCGGAUUGUAGCUUAGCGGCGAACGGGUGAGUAACACGUAGGUAAUCUACCCUUCAGAGGAGGACAACCUCAGGAAACUGAGGCUAAACCUUCAUACGUUCACUGGUAGGGAUACUGGUGAAGAAAGAGUUACCGUUGAGGUGGCUGCUGAAGGAUGAGCCUGCGGCCCAUCAGGUAGUUGGUGAGGUAACGGCUCACCAAGCCGAAGACGGGUAACCGGUCUGAGAGGAUGUCCGGCCACAUUGGAACUGAGAGACGGUCCAAACUCCUACGGGAGGCAGCAGUGGGGAAUAUUGGGCAAUGGGCGAAGCCUGACCCAGCAACGCCGCGUGAAGGAAGAAGGUCUUCGGAUCGUAAACUUCUAUCCCCGGUGAAGAUAAUGACGGUAACCGGGAAGGAAGCCCCGGCUAACUACGUG